ACAGUGGUAGCUGUCGUGGUUAAGACAUUGGACUACUGAUCGGAAAGUCAUGAGUUCAAAUCUCAAAUGCUGAG